UUGCGAUCCGGUGCGCCGAAGCCUUUCUUACAAGAGUUGCUCUGCGCACCGGAGGUACUGCAAGCCUCUGCAGACAUCGCCAUCACUCAUGGACCAAUAUGAAGUAUGAGGAAGUCUAUAAAGCAUCUAUACAGGUGCGGGAUGCAGAGCUGCAUAAAAAAGAAGCUCAAGUGACAGAAGAGCUCAGAAGCUUUACAGAUCUAGGGCAUUGCUCCUCUGUGCACGCACGUCCCGCUUCUGUGGCUUCUCUUUAACAUCUUCAGUCAUUCUCUUUGCUUUGAGAUUUCAGGAAACCGCAGCAGCCCCUCGGAAAAACCCCAGCUCUGUUCCGUAACCAUCCGGUUAAAAAUGAUCUGUUUGUCCUCGUCCCGAAAUGAAACGAAACAGUCUCGCCGGUGCACUUCGGAGGAUGAAGCCGUUUGGGGGAUUUAAGCAGCAAAGAAUGAGUGUCCGCUCGGCGUUUAACCGGACAAAUCCGGAGCGUUUUGUCACCAGCUCUCCAACCAGCCGCGAGUGUCAGCUCAUUCACAACCCCAAGUUCCUACUUUUUGCACAGGGAACAGCGGUGAGCCCCCCCAAAUCCCCCUGUGCCAGCCCAGCAGGAGAAUUUCAGCAUCUGACUGAGGUUUAGUUGUUUUUUUCUCCUAUUUUGGAUAUUUUAUCUGCUAUCUUUUUUAUUGCCUAUGUGGUUGUAAAUGUGCUAAUAUUUAUUUAAUACCAAGAAAUCUGUGAAGACACAUUUGACUUUUCUUUAUUACGAAUGCAUUCUAAUAUACUGGAGCAGCUACAUUUUAGGCCGUGUGACAUCUUGGUGGGCACAUUUGGAUUUGUGGCCUUGGUGUAAUAGUACUGAAAGGUUGCCAAGGUACAUUUUCCAUUCGGCCCAACAGUACCUUGCAAAAGUACUUAUAUCCUUUUUUUUCACAAUUUGUAAGAUGACUCCACAAGGUUCUGCGUAUUUUAUUGGAGUUUUAUGAGACAGACUAACAAAAAGUAGCACAUAAUGUAUAGUGAUAUGUGGUUUUCAACAUUUAAAAAAAAUAAAGAUCGGAAAGGUGUGUUGGGCAUUGGUAUUCAGCCCUCUUUGCCCUGAUGUCCCUAAAUAAAAUCCAGUGUAACCAAA